UACGCGUGGCUCACUGAGGGCAUGCGGUUCGGCGUUGUUUUAAUGCCGUACAUUUUAGUGCAGUGAUUAGUGUAAUCACUGUGUCGCACUUUUCUCUGAUCAAAAAUCAGAAAUCAGAGAAAUCGCAGCUGUUUUGCAUGUAGAAUGCAUAUUUUCUACUGCUCCAGCCACGAGGUUCUGUGCGUGUGCGUGUGUGUGCUUCAAUAGGUGACAGCUCAUUUCGUUGCUUUAGAAAAGUGUUGCUAGAAGAAACGGGCAAGCAGUGAAUAGAUAAAACUCAGUAACCUUUGGUUUUGUUUGUGGAGAAAAUAUAUGUGCCUAUGUGUGUCGUGCUUUGGUGUAAUAUGAGGAUGUGUUUGAGGAAUAUUGCGUGACUGCAGAAUAUCGCCGUGAUGAUAUAUACCGCAUUAGCAAGCAGUUCCGGUUUUGGGGAUUGUGUUUUGCCGGCAAAAAGCCAGGGUUGGCUCGAAAAGCAUUUGCCAUAAAUGAGGCACCAGCUUAUCUUGCCAUAAAUGACGUGUUUCUUAAUAUCGGUGUGAUUUUGAGACCUUUGAUCGAUACUAAAUGAGACUUAUGCUGCCUGAUCUGCAUAUUGAGGUACUGUGAUCGAUGAAACAUUUCAGCAUUGGUAUUAUAGCACAAAAUUCAAUUUUUCAACAGAGCUCGACGCAGCGAAUGCCUGAAAAUGGAAAACAAAUAACUUUCAUCGAAUUAGACUGUGAAACCUUCCAUUCAGCAAAAGUAAGUCUUAAAUUAAGAAAAGCUGUAUCUGGAAGUGCAUUUGCCAGAAAAAUGACCUUCACCUAGACAAUUAUGGCACAGUUUGGCGGUUUGUUGCCUGCGCUGUGAUGGCAUUAUUUGGCAGUAAUUGCCGCAUUACAGUAGAGAAGAUGCUUGCCUUGGCACAGCGGGCACCGGGUAUGGGGCUCUGGAAAGCGAUGAGAAGCUUUUAAAGCGGUCCGGCUUUCGUUCUACCCGAUCCGGACACUUCUCUGCUAAACGCCGCCCACCGCAUACGAUAUUCUGCCGGCAGCUUUGCAAUUAAUUGCAGUACAAGGCAAGGAUUGUGGCAGAUGUUCUGGCAUGUCAGCUGCCACUUUUGUGGUCACAUAGACCCUGCUCGGUAUUGCCGAAUUUGAUUAAGCUCCCCAGCUUAUCCGAUCGAGUGGCUGGAGUCUGCGGUACCCGUUCAAUCAUAGAUUGUAUGAGCCAUUCGGGUCUGCCAAUCCUCUUUCUGAGAGUUUCCAUUAUGUCGGGGACUGACUCGGGCAGUAUCAGCCAUCCCUGUAUAGCUUCUAGUGCUGCGCCUUUAAGGCAACGCUGUAACCUUAGAAGGCUCUCCUAUGGCCUAUAUCCACAAAGCUUGGUGGAGUAGCUGUAAUUUACGUGAAACGCUGGUGAUUCCUCCGGGUUUCCCCGAGAACGUCGACUGCCAUUUGUUCGUUGGUUAUUGCUUUUAUUGCUUUUAGCAAUUGAUGUUCUGGGCCCGCUUGAUAGGCCGCAACGGAGCACAGCUCGGGAUUGGGUGCGCUACCCUUUUUUUCGAUGUUGUUGUCAGGUGCAACGCUCGCCAGCCAGCUUCGCAUGCGGUUGUUGUGCGUGGAGAUAACACUUGAGACUUGGCUGGCAUUAUCCCCUCCUCUAAGAGGUCAACCGCAAUUCCGAACUUUUCCUCACUGAAUCUCCUUUCCAGCACAAUGCACUCCAGCUUCCAGUUACGUAAUUUCGUGUCAUAUACUAGUUCUGCGGGCGAUGCUUUGAUGUCCUCUCAGUAUGCUGUGCGUAGGCCUAACAUAAUUAGUGGCAGUUGUUUAACUCAGUGGACGGUAUCUUUACAGCAGAUGGCGCUUUUUGGGUGCGAUGCCAUCGUUCGACACGUCUGUUCACGCUUGAACCUGUAUGUAAAUAUCCAUUUAAAGCCAUUUUUAAUGUUUUCUACUGUUUUAAAGUAUUUUAUUUCGCUCUACAUUUAUUUGUUUAUCAAUAACAAACAAAAUUACUCGAUGUGUCCGUCUGAUAUUCCAUUUAUUUCCUCCAGGCGGCUACAAAAUCGGUAACACACGUUGUGGCAACAUAGGUCUCUGACACAGAAGCCCAGGUUUUGAUGAUAGACGCUUUCAGCGAUUCAACCGAACGGUAUGAUGAUUCACAGGCCUUAGCCUGAACAAACGCCCCUAUUGAAUAGUCCAACGGAUUUAAAUCAGGACUGCUUGGAGGCUAAAUAUCUUUCGGCCAAAAAUUCAUGUUUUCCUUCAACCAUGUUUGAGUCCGGUUAGAUGUGUGGCAGGGGGCGCCAUCUUGCUGAAACACAACAUUUUGUGGUGCUUCGAAGUUUCCUUUAACCCCCCAUGGUAAAACGUGUUUCUUCAAAAUAUCAACGUACACAUCAGUAAUCAUUUUAACACCGGAUUUUAUAAAAACUGGUGGCAUUUUCAAACCAUUCGAGGCAACUGCUCCAAACCUCAUUAUUCCAGCGGGAUGCUUGGAAGUGAACUUAUAUUUUAUGUUCUCUGGAACAUCCUUAGUCUUUAGGGGCGAUAUGAACUUUUCUGUGCGGGAAUUUUUCGCUGAAUCGAUUGUGAAAUGUUUCUCAUCAGAGAACACGAUCACCGGAUUCUUCUUCUUCAGAACUGACAACAAAUACUUCGAUCGCAUGUCGAAGAACUUUUACCCUUUCAACUAUUAAAUGGCGCUUCAUUCUAGCUCUAGAAGUAGCUUUUAGGUCAUAUUUGACCAACCGUUGCAUAGACGAUGCAGAGAUGGCCCCUAUUGCGAGUGUCUUGUCUCGUUUCCAAGACAAACGUCAGUCUGGUGUCGGUAUUGCGAGUGUCUUGCUUGCCUUCGAUUUCUGUCUUGGAAACGAGACUCAGCUGUCUCGUACUCAAAGCUACCAGACUGGGAGUCUGCCAAACAAGACUGCGAUUUAAAAUGACCGUUACGGUUUUUUAUUUAGCAGACUGGUGGUUGAUUUGGAAGAAUUUAAUGGAAUUAAUCAAUUACGAAAUGGUUAGUCACAUGUAUACGGAGAAUCAGUUGAUUCUAAAUGGGGUUUUGCUGGCCAGGCGGAGCUCUUGUUAAACGGCACAUUUUCUGAGAACCACGUAACUUUCAGACGCGAGGAAACGCAACGACGCACAGAUCCUCACAAUUGGAGUAACGGCUGUGUUAUGUAAAGUCUUUUUAAAAUCAUCCUUUGUUGCAGCAAGGAGGUACUUAAUCGCCGACUUAUUCAAUCUAAAUAAUUUGAUGCACCUGCAAAGUUCUGGUUUGGUUUUUUGGCCGGUGUUAUAGAUUUUUUGGUUGGAGGAGAUAGUUCAAGCUGUCUUUUCUGUGUGGUGAUCUGUUCGUUAGUUGUUGCUAUAGUCGGUCGGGGUGGUGUUUGACUGACAGUUUUUCAUCUCUGGUUUUGAUGAUAUUUUCGUUGCCAAUACUGUUUAGAUAAGCUUGUUCGACUGUGCCCAAUGGUUGGAUUGAUUUUGCUGCUACAAAUGGGUUUUCGAACUUACUCUCCUUGUGUUUUAGCUUCAGCAGAAUUGAUUUUAUCGGCCCAUAUUCUUUGUUAGCAUCCAUCCACUCCGGGAUGGUCCGAUCAUUUGCUCUACUAACCAUCUUACUGCUUACGGGCGCAGAGGCCCUUUUUUGUGAUUCGGACUACCUUCCUUUGUUACAGUUGCACUUGUCACUCGUAUACACAGAUUAUCGUCCCCUCCUCCUUUCUCGCUCGUCUUUCUUUCACUCUGUUCGCUAGUACUUUCAGAUACGUGUGUUCGCUUCGGCUUGACAUUUGCUGCGACUGCCAUAAAAUAAUGUUGAAAACUCGUUCUUCUCAACUGCGAACAGUAAUCCAAACCACUGCUCGCCGCUUCAACUUUUAAUAAUAAUCGGCUGAUGUUCUAUCGUGGAUGUAUCAGGGAUUUAUCGCAAAAAUUGCAAAAAUUAGGAGGUUUCUAUUCAGUGAUAUUUUUCAUUAAGUUUAAAUAGCACUAACUGCUCAUCCGACAACGAUAGCGGGUCCGUAGUGUUUCGAAUGUUUCUGCGCAUCACCGACACGUGCAUCAGAUUCUCUUCCUCUUCUUCGUCGAAAUAAUCGAACAAAAAUGGUACGAUUGAAAACAUUUUUUGAUGAAUUAAAACACGUUAACGGUAAGGAAACUCGAGCUGCGCGCGAUUGUUUACAUACAAAGCUGCGAUUUUGACGGCUUUGGACAGCCAAAUGAACACUUGUUCAUUCAAGUAUUCAUGCGACUCUCGCAAUACCGAUUUUAAACAACCAAGACUCCGCGGUUUUUGGCACACAAGAAUGGUCGAGUCUUGUCUUGAAAACGAGACAAGACACUCGCAAUAGGGGCCGGAUGGAUCGCACUGAAUUGCGCUCAAUUUUAGCUCUCAACGACUGCAGGCGUUGCAUGUCCAAGGUUAGCUGGUGUAUUUGGGGGGCGUUGUAGAGUGGUGUUACUACUCUGGUCGACAGUCGCAGAGUAAACUGGACGUACUGGGUUGGGCUGAACUGGAGCGACGUAAGCUUCCGCAGUGCCGGAAACUGUUCUCCAUUUGCGUUUUUCUGCACGCCAUCCACAAUGCUAGCAGAUGAGCGGAUCGAUGCGGUCACGAUGAUAGAAAAGGUCCCUCCGGAAAGCGUGGUAUGUUUUAAAUGUUCUUGGCUAGCCGUCUCAUCUCGUUGGAAAGCUAUGAGGGUUUCUGGUCACCUAACACUAACUCGGCCACGACGCGAUGCAUCCUAAAUCGUUGGCUCUCGCUGAAGUGGUUAAGGAGUGUCUUCUUCGCGAAGUCGUAUUGUCCUGCAGCGGGCACUUCGUUGAACCGGUCCCGUAGCUCGAUGAGAUUUUCCUCUUGCUACAUUACACUUGUUAAUUCAUUUUUAAUUCGUUUUAACUUCGAAAAAGAGCGUUCUCCGCUACAGUUGGUUACCACCAAUCUUAGAAACAUUCGUAGAGCGAUCUCUAUAUUGGGAAAAGUGUCUUCGAUUCGGUUUUACUUUCAAUAUAUGAUAAAUUUGUAAUAUAGUGAUGGGUUCUUCAGUUUUUAAUUGAUACCGUUUUAGAUAUUCUGCCAAAUAAAGACAUUCUGCUUCUAAUUCUUACUCAUUUAGAUCUCACGUGAUGCAUUUUCGCAAGUUCUUUGCAACUUCUACUUAACUCAACUGGAUUUAAUACUUUUUAAUGACAAAAGAAUCCAAACAUUUGACUAAUGGUUUUUGUUGUGAAUGUGAACAGACCGCCGCGGACUUCAGCUUGAUGAAGUCGCUUUAUUAGUAUUUAAGCAGACUCAAAAUUCGUCUGCCUUCCGUGGCGAUUAUCUUUUAUACACUGAUUCUCGCUUACCGCCUUUCACCUUCUUUCUCACUUGCCUGCUUGCUAGCUGACUUGUCUGCAAGCUCGCACGCAAGUGAGAUACGGGUGGCUGCUCGCGGGCCCUACCGAUAGCCGCUGGUAUCGGUAACACACACGUCUGCUCAGAUCGGAUCCCACGAUCAGGAGAGACCGUUUUUCUUUCUAUUUCCGCUCAGCUGUCAUGUUUGAGAACCGCCAUCCUAUUCCGAACUUGGAAAAAGCGACUUUUUCCAGAUCUACUGUUGCCUGUCCACGUACAGUUUGCCGCGAAGUCCAUAUGAAACAUUUUGUUCCACCCGUGAUGGAACCGGUGCGCUGGUCCUUUGAAUCUUCUUAUUCUCCACCAGUGAUGAUUUGUUUCAGGUCCAGGCUAUAAUGGUGUUCUGCUAAUUGUGCAUCCAUAAGCAUCAUAGACUCUUCUGAACAGAUUGGAAUGUUGAAUUUGUUUCUAUUGGCUGGCGGCGUUGUUUGGGUAGAAACAUGGCUGGGCGUCCCGUAUUGGCUUAGCAGAAGGUUGUUUGUGUCCGUUACUUUAACCAUCACGCUUUUAAUGGUUUCAUGAAGUAUUCUGAUGCCCUGGGCAUUCGAUUUUGCCAUUUGCAGGCACAUUUCGUGUCCCGUGAAUGCUGCCUCGGUUCUGAAAUACGCCAACACAUUAAUAAGAGCAAACUAUUCAAUUAUUAUGAUACUUACGGUUCCGUUUGAACCCCAACGUGUUGUUUUGUGGUAACCGCUUCCUCAAACGGAAUCUCCAAACCGAUUAUUUCCAUUCCUUUGAACCGCGUAAACAUGAUUUUUAUAUGAAACACAUCACUUGAUUCACGAUUGAUAAUAAAUACUUACCAAAAGGAUUUUUAAAAAACGUAAAACAACGUGCAAAAAUGGCGUGCGCAAAAAGUAAUAAAAUUGCGAAAAGCAACAGCAGUGCGAAUAUUCUACAAUUGGGUUCCCGUCUCGGCGCAUGUAAAAUCAUGGUCAUUUCGAACCUGUUUUUUAGCAAAUUAAAUUCCUAGUAGGAACGGGUUAACAUUUUCCAGGCUUUUGCCUGCCGUUAAACUUUCCAUAAGCAUGAUUUGCUCACCUUCUCCGGACAUGUCGUCUUCCAGGUGGAUAGACCUUGAGCAGCCUCUCCCUAGCUACCGUCUCGAUGAGGGCCUUUUCAGUCUUCUCCAUCCUCUGCUGGAGCUGCUCGUGCUGCUGCACCCCACGUGUCGCCAGCGUUUUCAGCUUUAGGACCAUGUCCUUCACCGAACUUGUUCGCCUGGCAACGCGGAACACAUGCACUUUUCACUGAGUGGCGCAGGAUUGUUCUCCGGCUUUACGGACUGAACCUUCACCAGCUCGGCGUAAAGGCUUCUUAUCUGCGUUAUAUAGUGGCCGUCGGUGGCACAUCCACCCGGCCGGCAGCUAACGCACACAGCAUUUCGUCUUUAGUAUGCAUAAUGAAAAUCACUUGCACUACGCUUCUUCGUAAAGCUGUUCACUAUCCCACUUAUGAGAUGUAAAACCACUGAUUUUAGGUGGAUUUUACCACACUUUUCUUCACUUUUCGGACAUAAGGCACAAACAUCAGACGGAAGGAAAACACUGUUGUAAAUAGACACAGAUCGCCGCGGAUUUCAGUUUAAUGAAGUCGCUUUAUUAGUAUUUAAGCAGACUCAAAAUUCGUCUGCCUUCCGUGGCGAUUAUCUUUUAUACACUGAUUCUCGCUUACCGCCUUUCACCUUCUUUCUCACUUGCCGCUUUUAACCUUCUUUCUCAUUUGCCUGCUUGCUAGCUGACUUGCCUGCAAGCUCGCGCGCAAGUGAGCUACGGGUGGCUGCUCGCGGGCCCUACCGAUAGCCGCUGGUAUCGGUAACACACACGUCUGCUCAGAUCGGAUCCCACGAUCAGGAGAGACCGUUUUUCUUUCUAUUUCCGCUCAGCUGUCAUGUUUGAGAACCGCCAUCCUAUUCCGAACUUGGAAAAAGCGACUUUUUCCGGAUCUACUGUUGCCUGUCCACGUACAGUUUGCCGCGAAGUCCAUAUGAAACAUUUUGUUCCACCCGUGAUGGAACCGGUGCGCUGGUCCUUUGAAUCUUCUUAUUCUCCACCAGUGAUGAUUUGUUUCAGGUCCAGGCUAUAAUGGUGUUCUGCUAAUUGUGCAUCCAUAAGCAUCAUAGACUCUUCUGAACAGAUUGGAAUGUUGAAUUUGUUUCUAUUGGCUGGCGGCGUUGUUUGGGUAGAAACAUGGCUGGGCGUCCCGUAUUGGCUUAGCAGAAGGUUGUUUGUGUCCGUUACUUUAACCAUCACGCUUUUAAUGGUUUCAUGAAGUAUUCUGAUGCCCUGGGCAUUCGAUUUUGCCAUUUGCAGGCACAUUUCGUGUCCCGUGAAUGCUGCCUCGGUUCUGAAAUACGCCAACACAUUAAUAAGAGCAAACUAUUCAAUUAUUAUGAUACUUACGGUUCCGUUUGAACCCCAACGUGUUGUUUUGUGGUAACCGCUUCCUCAAACGGAAUCUUCAAACCGAUUAUUUCCAUUCCUUUGAAUCGCGUAAACAUGAUUUUUAUAUGAAACACAUCACUUGAUUCACGAUUGAUAAUAAAUACUUACCAAAAGGAUUUUUAAAAAACGUAAAACAACGUGCAAAAAUGGCGUGCGCAAAAAGUAAUAAAAUUGCGAAAAGCAACAGCAGUGCGAAUAUUCUACAAUUGGGUUCCCGUCUCGGCGCAUGAAAAAUCAUGGUCAUUUCGAACCUGUUUUCUAGCAAAUUAAAAGUAUGAAACGUCAAAACAAAUACUUUGAAAUAAGUAUUAUUUUACAAAAAAAAAAUUACAUUGAUUUCCGAUCAAUUUUCUACACUUGUUUAAUCUAUUUUUGUGCAAGGUUGUAUAUUUUACGCUUUACUCACACUUCGCAACGAUAUCGGGUCUUCUUGCUUCACUGCCGAAAACACUUUGGCUUUAGAUGAUGAUCGAGGCUGGCUUUCGGCGUCGCAUCGUCCCAGAACUUCGCACUGUGUGGUUAUAAAAUUUAAAGUAGUUUCAGGCUACGGAAACUCCCCAUGCGCCAGUGUUCUUUCCCAACGCUUGCGCGUUUCGAUGUUCAAAUACGAUGUCACUAGCUUUGUCACGAUCAGAUUGUUGGUUUUAUCC